ensembl:lncRNA
UCGCUAAGAGUCGGACACGACUGAGCGCCUUCACUUUCACUUUUCACGUUCAUGCAUUGGAGAAGGAAAUGGCAACCCACUCCAGUGUUCUUGCCUGGAGAAUCCCAGGGAUGGGGGAGCCUGGUGGGCUGCCGUCUAUGGGGUCGCACAGAGUUGGACAUGACUGAAAGGACUUAGCAGCAGCAGCAGCAGGAGCCCUCUAAGAGUAAGCAAACUCCAUUCUCUUCCAAAGAAAAUGAGCCAACGGACUCAAAUGCAUGUGAAAGAUAAGAUAAAGCCCUUGAUUAGGAGGAUUCCAAAAGCAGGCUUGACUGAUCCAGGCCUGGCCAUGGAAACCUCUCAUGCAUACAUGCUUCUAGCUGGUUGGGAAGGAGGCAGCCACAUGGUGAAGAUGAUGACACUUUCUUCAGCCUGAGCUCUACAUGACUGCUUGAAGGAGAGUCAACCCAAGAACAUGCUCACCUGCUCAGGAUUGUGACGUGAACAAGAAUUAUAUUUCUA